GAAGAUCCGGGUGACGCUGCGAACGGACGUGAAGAAUGUGCGAGACCCAGGGUCGGCGCCGCUGCGUUUCCCGGAACCACGCCCAGAGCAGCCGCGUCCCUGCGCAAACCCAGGGCUGCCUUGGAAAAGGCGCAACCCCAACCCCGUGGAAUUCGAGGCUGCCCUACCAGGAUCAAUGCAAAUGCCACCUCCUUUUGGAAAAUCCUGGUUUCCUAGCUCCCUUCAUGGAAUUCUGCUUCUUAAGGCUUACUUAGUAAUAGAGACCUCUCAGAAGUUGGAAGAGGCCCAGGUCCACUCUGGCCCCCACCUUUUUUAAAAUAAAAAAUGCAAUGUAAUUUUUCUGGUUAUGGCAUGAUUGAUGCUAAUGGCAAACACGUGGCAUUUUUCAUAUAUUAACCAACGCUCACAAAACGCAGUAGUGACUACUGUUAUCCUCAUUAGGCAAAUGAAAUAACUGAUGCACAGAGAAGUUUAGUGGGCCAGGCGCGGUGGCUCACGCCUUUAAUCCCGGCACUUUGGGAGGCCAAGGCCGGCAGAUUGCUUGAGCCCAGUGGUUCGAGACCAGCCUGAGCAACAUAGCAAAACCCCAUCUCUACUAAAAAUACAAAAAAUUAGCUAGACGUGGUGGCGGGCACCUGUAGUCCUGUUACCCGUGGAGGGUGUCCAAGUUCUUAGCGUCUUGAACUAAGAACUGGACGAAAUGCACAAAGCAAAGAAAGAAUGAAGCAAUAAAAGCAGAGAUGUAUUGAAAACGAAAGUGUAACCGCCCAAUGGGUUCACCUUGUCCGCUGCCUAGACAGAGCUGAUUUAUGAAGACGGGAAUUGCAAUGGCGAAAGAAUAAUUCACGCUGAGCGCUGUGCGGGAGACCAGAGUUUCAUUAUCACUCAAAUCAGUCUCCCUGAGCAUUCUGGAAUCAGAGUUUUUAAGGAUAAUUUGGCAGAAGCUUCAAGGACUGAAUCCUGACAGGAAACAGGCACCUCCAGGAUUCUCUCCCCAGCAGAAGAUUACUUCAAGACCGGAGUUCCCUCUGGACUGACUGCAAGAUUGAAUGUGAUUGAUUUGUAACCUGUCAGGUCCACAAUGGUGCCAUGGAACAAUAAUUCAAGAUAAGCCAUCAGAGCAAGUCACACCAUUUGGCACCUCCUAGCCCCCUUCCUCUCUUGCAUUCCAAGCCCCUCUUCUUAAACCCUUGCCGUCUCUCCAGAAAUUGGAAAUUGGCAAUUUUUGGAAAGGAUUCCAGCCACUUUCCCCCUCGCUGGCAACGGAUAAUAAAAUUCACUCUCU
rnacentral:lncRNA from 1 species